GCGUGUCCGCGUGAGGGAUAGCAAUGGAAAUCCUUUUUACGGCGGUAGCUGGAAAAAGAUUGAAAUGUAUAGCCCGACUCCAU
rnacentral:sRNA from 1 species